UUCGAUUGUGCCAGCAGCCGCGGUAAUACAGAGGAUGCAAGCGUUAUCCGGAAUGAUUGGGCGUAAAGCGUCCGUAGGUGGUUUUGUAAGUCCGUGGUUAAAGCGCGAAGCUUAACUUCGUAAGGGCCAUGGAAACUACAAGACUUGAGUGAAGUAGGGGUAGAGGGAAUUCCCAGUGUAGCGGUGAAAUGCGUAGAGAUUGGGAAGAACACCGGUGGCGAAAGCGCUCUACUGGACUUAUACUGACACUGAGGGACGAAAGCUAGGGGAGCGAAUGGGAUUAGAUACCCCAGUAGUCCUAGCUGUAAACAAUGGAUACUAGAUGUUGAACAGAUCGACCUGUGCAGUAUCAAAGCUAACGCGUUAAGUAUCCCGCCUGGGAAGUAUGCUCGCAAGAGU
rnacentral:rRNA from 1 species